rnacentral:rRNA from 1 species
UACGGAGGAUGCAAGCGUUAUCCGGAUUUAUUGGGUUUAAAGGGUGCGCAGGUUGUUUGAUAAGUCAGUGGUGAAAGUCUGUCGCUUAACGGUAGGAUUGCCAUUGAUACUGUUGGACUUGAAUAUGGAUGAGGUAGGCGGAAUGUGUAGUGUAGCGGUGAAAUGAAUAGAUAUUACACAGAACACCGAUUGCGAAGGCAGCUUACUAAUCCAUCAUUGACGCUGAGGCACGAAAGCGUGGGGAUCAAACAGGA